rnacentral:lncRNA from 1 species
CUAAUUCCCUGAGAUGCUCAUUCUCUAUAACAGUAGGACAACUAUCAUCCUGGGAGUGGGACACAGCUAUAAGGGCCCCAAAGACCUAAUCAAUCAAUCUCUCUGCCUCUCUUAGACCUCCACGCCAGACUUAAAACUUGGACGAUGCCUUCCUAGAGCAUAUUCAAAUAUUCAAAAUGGAGAUAUAUAGUAGUCUUGGGAGACUUCAACUACCCAAAUAUCCUUUGGAAUUAAAACUCUGCCAAGAAUGUAAGGCCCAACAAUUUGCUCCCUUGUCUCGCUGACAAUUUCAUUUCCCAGAAGGUGGAAGAAGCAACAAGGGGAUCAUUUAUCUUGGAUCUGGUUCUCACCAACAGGGAGUAAAUUAUCAAUGAAGUGGAAAUACUGGGAACCUUUAGAGGAAGAGAUCGUGUCCUCUUGAGUUUAAUGAUACAGAGGCAAGGGAAAGAUUCACAGAGUUUAAUGGAAUUUACUCCGAGGUUUAGAAUAGUUGCAACUUAAGGAGCAUGUUCCAUUAAACUCAGGUUUACUUUUGAGUAAAUUUUGACUUCCCUAUGAACUUAUGCAUCUGAAAUACUCAAGUUUACUACAACAACUGGAGGUCCACAGACAGCUCAUCACACACAAAUAAGCAAAGGCAGGAUGCUAUAAGUGCUGCAAAUGUCUUCCUUGUCUCCCUCUUCACCUCUCUUGUGACAUCCAAAUACCAUUGUCUUGUCAGAACUGUCUUGUUCUGACAGCCUUUUCACCCAACAGUGGCGGGCAGUGUCUCCCACACAGUCACUCAUUCCCCCCACAAGCAAGCUCUCUAUUAGCAAGACAUGUAGAUUUAUUGCAGCAUAAGCUUCAAGUCAAGGGAUGCGGGUGGUGCUGUGGGUUAAACCACAGAGCCUAGGGCUUGCCGAUCAGAAGGUCAGCGGUUCUAAUCCCCACAACGGGGUGAGCUCCCGUUGUUCAGUCCCUGCUCCUGCCAACCUAGCAGUUCGAAAGCACGAAGUGCAAGUAGAUAAAUAGGUACCGAUCUGGCUGGAAGGUAAACGCCAUUUCUGUGUACUGCUCUGGUUCGCCAGAAGCGGCUUAGUCAUGCUGGCCACAUGUACACUGUACGCUGUACGCUGGCUCCCUCGGCCAGUAAAGCGAGAUGAGCACUGCAACCCCAGAGUCAUCCGCAACUGGACCUAACAGUCAGGGGUCCCUUUACCUUUACCUAAGCUUCAAGUCAGAUAAUGUGGACAAAAGAUUACCUCACAGUAAACCCUUAAGACUUUAAGUUGCCACAAGAUGCUUUGUUGCGUUUGGAAAAAUUCCACACUGUGGUAUCCUUUCGCUGAAAAACCAUGAUGCUACGGCAAGGUCAUGGGAAGGAGACAUAUCUUCUUCCGUGCUCCCUAUCCAUGAAAAAUCUCUUGUUUGUGGCUUGUCUCAUUGAUAAAAGGGGUUGUUCAAUAUUUUCCAGGAAAGAAAGCACCAUUUUCAUUAAGACAUUAAUAGGCUGGGGGGGGGGGGGGUUAAAAUCCAGCACUUUGCCUAAUGGAACAUGAGCACUGCAUAUGGACUCUGUGUUUACUGUGUCUUGCAUGUCAUAUUUUUCUCAAUGUACUUUUAAGAGCUAUUAUUUUCCUCGCUAUUCUGUCACUACAACAGCUUUCCUGUGACUUAAAAGAGAUGUAUUAUUUAUGCCUCAUGUAUCUUCAGCGGCAAUGACAACUAGACCAUGUACAUUUUGGCUCCCAGACUUUCCCUGGCAAGUGAAGAUAAAUUUGUGAACCUGCAUGAACACACCGGGCUUCCAUGAAAUUUAUAGAAAUUAAUAGGAACCGCCACAAAACAUUUGGAAACAGCUUUUCUAUUGUAAGAACUGAAAAUUAAUUCUGUUCUACAGCCUGAAAAUUAAAGCAGCAUAUUCCUCCA